rnacentral:rRNA from 1 species
UACGGGGGGGAGCAAGCGUUGUUCGGAUUUACUGGGCGUAAAGCGCACGUAGGCGGCUUUGUAAGUUAGAGGUGAAAGCCUGGAGCUCAACUCCAGAAUUGCCUUUAAGACUGCAUCGCUUGAAUCCAGGAGAGGUGAGUGGAAUUCCGAGUGUAGAGGUGAAAUUCGUAGAUAUUCGGAAGAACACCAGUGGCGAAGGCGGCUCACUGGACUGGUAUUGACGCUGAGGUGCGAAAGCGUGGGGAGCAAACAGG